AGCCCUUCCACUGGGGGCUCCAUCGGGACCCCCUCCUCCCCCCCCGCAUCGGGGCCCUCUGCCUUUGUGCCAGUUGUCCAGGCCAUGCUGCAGGAGCCAGCCCAAACCAUGACCUUCAGUGGUGCCAGAUGAAACACUACCAAAAGCUCUAAUUUUCAGUGUUGUUUAAAUGGAUUGGGACUUCCAUCACAGCCUGAAUUUCAACGUACUCCCACUCCAGUGUCCUGAAUGAAGGAAGAUCCAAACAAGGAUCACACUGGUGAAAAGCUGACAGAAAGCACUGGUGGAUCUUACUGUCGUCAUUAUUAUUUGGCAUUAUUAUUACUACUGCCAGCGAGGCUGACAGGAGGUAGCACCGCAGCCCAGCCCCGCCGCAGCGGGAGGUGCUGGUACUCUGCACGGCCAGCAGCUGAGCACAGCAGCAGCACACCCAGCACUGCGGCCACGAAGCCCUCCCAGCACAGAUGCGUCACGGUGACAGAUGCCUCCACUUUGGCUCUAAAAGCGGUUGCUUGCAUACAAGAAUAAAUCACACUCUCAGCCCGAUUCUCCAUCACCUGAGAGCAGAAUCCAUCUGAAGGGAAUAAACAAUUUCCCUCGUAGCCGGAAGAAGCAUUAAAGGCAAAACCAGGAGUAGAAUACCUCACCAGCAAGUUUGAUAUUCUGCAAGUCCUACCGACCUUUUGGCUGGGCUCUGAACACUCCCAUGAGUGCAGCAGCUCAGACCCGUGUGCCACAACAGAGCAGCACACAGCCCCAAAGCAGCGCGUCUCCGAGUUACCAAACGCAGCGUGAAAGCGGACAGCAGCGCAGCCCGAGCAAGGGCUGCUGGUAGGGAUGGGGCCUGGAGCCUGUACCAGAACCUCCUCUUGCUGAGACCAUCGCCCAAGGGAACCACAGAGAGACGGCGGUGUCCGGGGGGAUAUCAAGGUUUGAUUACUUGACUGAGAAAGCACAACUGGAGCAAUAAAAGUAAACCGUAAAAG